rnacentral:rRNA from 1 species
GUACAUGCCUAUAACAUUACAUUAAUGCAUCAUAUCCCAUUAUAACUCUGCAGUUAAGUGCACUUAGGCUAGAGUAGUAUUGGGAUGGGUGACCGAAUGGGAAGUCCUAGUGUUUUACAUG